rnacentral:tRNA from 1 species
CCUAGCAUGGCACAGUGGUUUGAGUUUUGGACUCUGACUCUGGAGACCAGGGUUCGAUUCCCAGGUCAGCC